rnacentral:rRNA from 1 species
AAUAGAUACCCCGGUAGUCCACGCCGUAAACGUUGGAUACUAGGUGUGGCGUCCCGAUCAACGGAUGCCGUGCCGAAGCUAACGCAUUAAGUAUCCCGCCUGGGGAGUACGGCCGCAAGGCUAAAACUCAAAGGAAUUGACGGGUCCCCGCACAAGCGGCGGAGCAUGCGGCUUAAUUCGAUGCAACCCGAAGAACCUUACCUGGGUUUGAAAUCAUGGGAAAAGCUGUAGAAAUACAGUGUCCGUAAGGGCCCAUGACAGGUGGUGCAUGGCUGUCGUCAGCUCGUGUCGUGAGAUGUUGGGUUAAGUCCCGCAACGAGCGCAACCCUUGUCCUAUGUUGCCAGCGGUUCGGCCGGGGACUCAUAGGAGACUGCCGGGGAUAACUCGGAGGAAGGUGAGGACGACGUCAAGUCAUCAUGCCCCUUAUAUCCAGGGCUGCACGCAUGCUACAAUGGUCGGUACAACGGGCAGCGACCCCGCGAGGGUGAGCGAAUCCCACAAAGCCGGCCUCAGUUCGGAUCGGGGUCUGCAACUCGACCCCGU